rnacentral:rRNA from 1 species
AUUUCUUAAACAGCUAGGAUGUUGGCUUAGAAGCAGCCAUUCAUUUAAAGAGUGCGUAACAGCUCACUAGUCAAGAGAUCUUGCGUGGAAAAUGUAACGGGGCUAAACGUAAUACCGAAGACAUGGGUCUAUGCAUUAGCAUGGGCGGUAGAGGAGCGUUCCUAUCGGCAGUGAAGCAGCAUUGUAAAGUGCUGUGGAGCGGUAGGAAGUGAGAAUGCUGGAAUGAGUAACCAUAAGAGAGGUGAGAAUCCUCUCGGCCGUAAGAGCAAGGUUUCCUGAGCUAUGGUAAUCAUCUCAGGGUUAGUCGGGCCUAAGCCGAGGCGCAUAGCGUAGGCGAUGGACAUCAGGUUGAUAUUCCUGAACCGGCGUAGUUUGUACACUGUUCACGGAGAGAUAUUCAGAGCGGAUUCAUGGUUUAUCCGUCCAACCUAGCGGGAACGCAAAGGGAGUGAAAGUUACUCUGCGGAGUGAUGAUUCUGGAAAAGGCUCUGGCUAGAAAAGCAGGUGUACGCGUGGCUAUGUCCGCCCGUACCGCAAACCAACACAGGUGCUCGAGUCGAGUAGACUCAGGCUUACGAGUGAACCUUCGCUAAGGAACUCGGCAAUACAGCGACCGUAACUUCGGAAUAAGGUCUGCCCCCACUUCGGUGGAUAUGUUGUCGGUUUCAAAGCUAGCAGGUGUGGUUGAAGAGUAUCUUUAAUACAUCAAUUCUUCUUGAGAUAGAACCAAUAGCUUUUGGAACUGAAGCUCAACGCAUCUAGCGAUGUGGGGGCCGCAGCAAAAGAGCCCACGGAACUGUUUAUCAAAAACACAGCUCUCUGCUAACACGAAAGUGGAUGUAUAGGGGGUGACUCCUGCCCGGUGCUGGAAGGUUAAGGGGAGUGCUUCACGGUACGAACUGAAGCCCCAGUGAACGGCGGCGGUAACUAUAACCGUCCUAAGGUAGCGAAAUUCCUUGUCAGGUAAGUUCUGACCCGCACGAAUGGAGUAAUCAUGUGGGCACUGUCUCAGCGAAGGACUCGGUGAAAGUGCAUUGGCGGUAAAGAUGCCGUCUGUCCAUACCAGGACGAGAAGACCCCAUGGAGCUUUACUACAGCUUUACAUUGAUCCAGGUUUCAGUAUGUGUAGCAUAGUUGGGAGACUUUGAAACAGAUACGCUAGUAUUUGCGGAGUCGCAAUGUGAAAUACCAACCUUGCUGUGAUCUUGAUCUCACUUGUGCCGUUAUCCGGUACAAGGACCGUGUAUGGUGGGUAGUUUAACUGGGGCGGUUGCCUCCUAAAGAGUAGCGGAGGCGUUCAAAGGUUGGCUAACUUCGGAUGGAAAUCGAAGUGAUAGUGUAUGCGCAUAAGCCAGCUUGACUGUGAGGAGUACAUUCCAAUCAGAGACGAAAGUCGGAGCAAGUGACCCGCUGUACGAACAUUUGUUCAUUGAAUGUGGGAUCGACAGCGCACACGGAUAAAAGUUACCCUGGGGAUAACAGGCUUAUAGCGCCCAAUAGUUCACAUAGACGGCGCUGUUUGGCACCUCGAUGUCGGCUCAUCACAUCCUGGAGGGGAAGCACCUUCCAAGGGUUCGGCUGUUCGCCGAUUAAAGUGGUACGCGAGCUGGGUUCAGAACGUCGUGAGACAGUUCGGUUUAUAUCCGGUAUGGACGUCAGGAAAUUUGCGAGGAUUUGCCCCUAGUACGAGAGGACCGGGGUGAACGCACCGCUGGUGUACGGAUUGUGGCCACCUGCUGCAUUGUCCGGUAGCUAUGUGCGGACCAGAUAAGCGCUGAAAGCAUAUUAAGCGCGAAACUGACCUCAAGAUUAGAUUUCCCUAUGAGGACACAGAUAGACUAUCUGUUUGAUAGGUGCAAGGUGGAAGUGCAGUAAUGUAUGGAGCCGAAGCAUACUAAUAGUCCCAUUGCCUUUUUAU